rnacentral:rRNA from 1 species
ACGGGAGGCAGCAGUCGGGAAUAUUGCGCAAUGGAGGAAACUCUGACGCAGUGACGCCGCGUAUAGGAAGAAGGUUUUCGGAUUGUAAACUAUUGUCGUUAGGGAAGAGAAAGGACAGUACCUAAGGAGGAAGCUCCGGCUAACUACGUGCCAGCAGCCGCGGUAAUACGUAGGGAGCAAGCGUUAUCCGGAAUUAUUGGGUGUAAAGGGUGCGUAGACGGGAGUCUAAGUUAGUUGUGAAAUCCCUCGGCUUAACUGAGGAACUGCAACUAAAACUAGAUUUCUUGAGUGCAGGAGAGGUAAGUGGAAUUCCUAGUGUAGCGGUGAAAUGCGUAGAUAUUAGGAGGAACACCAGUGGCGAAGGCGACUUACUGGACUGUAACUGACGUUGAGGCACGAGAGUGUGGGGAGCAAACAGGAUUAGAUACCCUGGUA